rnacentral:rRNA from 1 species
GUGAGGAAUUUUCCGCAAUGGGCGAAAGCCUGACGGAGCAAUGCCGCGCGAAGGAUGAAGGCCUAUGGGUUGUAAACUUCUUUUCUCAGAAAAGAAUUAUGACGGUAUCUGAGGAAUAAGCAUCGGCUAACUCUGUGCCAGCAGCCGCGGUAAGACAGAGGAUGCAAGCGUUAUCCGGAAUGAUUGGGCGUAAAGCGUCUGUAGGUUGUUUAAAAAGUAUUCUGUCAAAGAUUAGGGCUUAACCCUAGAUAGGCAGAAUAAACUUUUAAGCUAGAGUUUGGUAGAGGCAGAGGGAAUUCCCGGUGGAGCGGUGAAAUGCGUAGAUAUCGGGAGGAACACCAAAGGCGAAGGCACUCUGCUGGGCCAAUACUAACACUGAGAGACGAAAGCGAGGGGAGCAAAUGGGAUUAGAAACCCGGGUAGUCC